rnacentral:rRNA from 1 species
CAGCCGCCGCGGGAAUACGAAGGGGGCUAGCGUUGUUCGGAAUCACUGGGCGUAAAGAGCACGUAGGCGGAUCUUUAAGUCAGAGGUGAAAUCCCGAGGCUCAACCUCGGAACUGCCUUUGAUACUGGGGAUCUCGAGUCCGGGAGAGGUGAGUGGAACUGCGAGUGUAGAGGUGAAAUUCGUAGAUAUUCGCAAGAACACCAGUGGCGAAGGCGGCUCACUGGCCCGGAACUGACGCUGAGGCGCGAAAGCGUGGGGAGCAAACAGGAUUAGAUACCCGCGUAGUCCCUGUCUCUUAUAC